GGAGUCGGCCGGACAGUCGCCGUACCGCACAGCGGAACGGAGGAAAGUCCGGGCUCCGACGGGCAGGGUGCCAGGUAACGCCUGGGAGGCGCAAGCCUACGGAAAGUGCCACAGAAAAUAUACCGCCAGGGGUUUUCGACCGCUGGUAAGGGUGAAAAGGUGCGGUAAGAGCGCACCGCGCCACUGGCAACAGCGGCGGCAGGGUAAACCCCACCUGGAGCAAGACCAAAUAGAGGAACGUACGCGCCUUCGGGCGUGUAGCGUGCGGCCCGCACUGUUCCCGGGUAGGUUGCUUGAGGUGUGCGGCGACGCACAUCCCAGAUGAAUGACUGUCCAUGACAGAACCCGGCUUACAGGCCGACUCCCUCC
rnacentral:RNase_P_RNA from 1 species